GGAAGGGUGGCUGAGUGGUCUAAAGCACUCGUCUACUAAACGAGCGUAGAGAAAUCUACCGUGGGUUCGAAUCCCACCCCUUCCGCCA
rnacentral:tRNA from 1 species